AAAGUGCUCAGCCCCCGGGGCACAGCAGGACGUUUGGGGGCCUUCUUUCAGCAGGGGACAGCCCGAUUGGGGACAAUGGCGUCUCUUGGCCACAUCUUGGUUUUCUGUGUGGGUCUCCUCACCAUGGCCAAGGCAGAAAGUCCAAAGGAACACGACCCGUUCACUUACGACUACCAGUCCCUGCAGAUCGGAGGCCUCGUCAUCGCCGGGAUCCUCUUCAUCCUGGGCAUCCUCAUCGUGCUGAGCAGAAGAUGCCGGUGCAAGUUCAACCAGCAGCAGAGGACUGGGGAACCCGAUGAAGAGGAGGGAACUUUCCGCAGCUCCAUCCGCCGUCUGUCCACCCGCAGGCGGUAGAAACACCUGGAGCGAUGGAAUCCGGCCAGGACUCCCCUGGCACCUGACAUCUCCCACGCUCCACCUGCGCGCCCACCGCCCCCUCCGCCGCCCCUUCCCCAGCCCUGCCCCCGCAGACUCCCCCUGCCGCCAAGACUUCCAAUAAAACCUCCCCCCCACAUCGGUCCGUCCUGCUUCCAGCUGCUGCAGCGCGCCUUCGCCGCCAAAGCAUCCAGCAGCCCCCUGCUCCGGCCCAGCAUGGCGACCCCGACCCAGACCCCCACAAAGGCUCCUGAGGAACCUGACCCAUUUUACUAUGACUACAACACGGUGCAGACUGUGGGCAUGACUCUGGCAACCAUCUUGUUCCUGCUGGGUAUCCUCAUCGUCAUCAGUAAGUGC
rnacentral:lncRNA from 1 species